rnacentral:ncRNA from 1 species
UUCAAGUGCAGGUAGAGAUACGCUGUAUACUCAUGAUAUCGAAUUAGCGUUUAAGCGAUAUGUAAUAUCGUCGAUCAUGAGGCCACCCUUGAGGUGGCAUUUUUAUUU